rnacentral:lncRNA from 1 species
GCCACGCCUCAGAGGGCGACCCUCCGGGUCAUAAGUAGUGGGCUGCUGACCCGGCCAGCCCAGAGGAGGACGUGCGGUACCGUCCGAAGCGCCGGCCACCGGCUGGCGUGGGUGCCGGUCCCGCUCCCUCACGCGUCCCGCCCGCGCCCCUCCGAGACCCCGAGCCGCCUCUGUGUCAUGCACCACCUCGUUGGCCCCGGUCCGUCCCCGCGCUCCUGCCUCCUGCGCCCUCCGGGACCGGGACCGCAGAGUUCCAAGAAGCGAGUGGUGUUCGCGGACUCCAGGGGACUCUCGCUGACGUCCGUGCACAAGUUCGAGGACCCCGCGGCGCCCCGGGGACGCGCGCCGGGUCGCGGCUGGGGCGCCUCGUCCGCCUGCCUGCGGCUCCUGCCCAGGGCCGCCCUGUGCGUGCGCGCCCGCUCCUCGUCGCCCUCAGGGUGACCGCGUGGCCCCGGAUCUGCUGCUCUACUGGGUGCUCAGCCGCUUUCCCGUGACAGUCACUAAGGUCGAAACCACCGCUGGACGUCGGGCUCUCAGCGCUGCUCAUCAAGGCGCUCAUCAACUCUCCGAAGCCUGAGGUUGUUGCCCGGGACGCGCGUGUUCCCCCUCCCAGCACCGUCCGAACCGCCUGCCCCUGCACUGCGUGUGGGACACAGGAUGGACCCGAGACCCCGCCUGCGGGAGAACCGCACUGCCCUUCACUCUGCGGGGCAAGACACGCUGGAGCAGAUCAGGGAAACAGAAACCAUGAGGCGAACUGGACUGGGGAAGACUGGGGAGCGGCUCCAGCUGAGUCUGUGCCUGUUGAGCUGGGAGAGACGAGACAGAGGAACACACAGGCGGAUGGGGUGGUGUCGCUGAUAUUUCUUGGCCGGGCCGGGCCUUGAGCUAAGUUCUUCACACCCCGAUUCUCGCUGUCCACCACAGCAACCUCCAGAGGACGCCGCAGCCUCCGCCCUCCCGUCACUCCCCACUCCUGACCUCAACCCCCU